GGCUCCCAGCACGCACCUGCAGGACCGGCUGCAGCGAGGCGAGGGCGCUGUUGCCCGCGCCCCAGUCGUCGCAGUUGCGGUACACGCCCUUCUCCAGGACGUACUGCUCCCCGGAGAAGCCCACCUGCUCAUAGGCCACCCACCUGCAGGAAAGACGGGGCCGGGUCAGCAGAGGAGGAGCCGCUACCUUUCCCGGAACCGCCGCCCGGCUCCAGAACCAGGAGCACUCACACGCCGCUGAGCACGUGGAUGGCCUGGGUGCGCGGACCGUGUCGCACUAGCUCCACAUCUGGCAAUGCCGCGCUCACCUCCACGCCAGGCCCCUCGAAGUCCAUGGCCUCAAACAGCACCACGGCCGGGUCCCCGAAGUCCUAGGCCCCAGGGACAGUCAGGUCGCUCCUGCCCAGGCAGGUACUGGUGGCCCCGGAAGCCCUCCUUCUCAUAGCCCACCCAGCUGGAAGCAGGGGGAGGAUGGAUAGACAGACUCAGUGGCAGGAAGCCAGUGGAUGGUGCACAGCCAGCCCCCGCUGGGCGCUGCCCACUCACCAGCCUCGCACCACCCUGAUGGAGGCAGCGGCCCAGCCUGAGGCAUCAGCAGCGUCUUCCCAGACCUCCCUGCGGCUGCCCUGGCAGCCAGGCUCUGAGAAGACGAUCACCUGAGAAGGACAGCAGAAGUCAGGCCCUGUGCCCGGCCUGGUCUCCACCACCCCACCCACUUGCCUCACAUCCUACCUUCCCAGGUCUGGUGUUCAGCUUGCCCUGGGUCUUCAGCGCUGGGCUCUGGAACAGAGUGAGCAGUGAGAAGUCUUACGGGUCACCUGUCUCCCCGCAGCUCGCCAUUCCAAGGGUCCCAUGUCCUCCCUAUUGUCCUCUACCCUCAAGGAAAUGGCCCACAGAGGAUGAGGAUGCCACCCUUGUUUCCAACACCAGGGCUUCAUCUCCCUGCCCGUCACUCCCCUCCCCAGGCUUACAGGAUAUGAAAGCCACCAAGCCCUUGGGAAUCCGUAGUACAAACCUGCUGUACAGAUAGGAGACUAAGGUCCAGCUUAGUCUCCACCUUAGACCAAGCCUCCCGCCUCCAGGGACUCUGACCCCCUGAACCACCUCUCCUCCCAAACUUUGACCCAAAAGAGGCCAGGCACCUCCCUCACCCUCCCAAGACUUCACUCACCCACCCCUCCGGGGGCUGGGCACAUGCAGGCUUCUCUGGCGGUGGCCUUCUGCUACAGAGCAGGGGCAACUGUCCUGGCACCUUCCUGAGCCCCGGUGCCCCAUGGGGUGGCAGAGCUGAUAGUUUUUUGCCCAGGGGUUCCAGAGCGGGGGCCUCCUUGGUGGCAGGCACCAGACUGCCAAAGAGAAGGCUGCCUCCAAGUCGGGAGGUGGGCCGGUUGCUGGCCAGCAUUUCCGCCCCUGGCUGCAGGUGGGGGCUCUUGGCACCUGUUACAUGCUUCUUCAACAUCUCCAGAGGAGAGCAAGAGGCCGGGGUGGGCCUGGCAGGGGGCGGGUCCCAGGAGGGGCUGGGCCCCACCUUUUCCUGUCUGCGCUGGAGCUUCUCGUCGUCGCUCAGGUAGGGGUUCUCUGGUUCUUCUUCCUCCUCCUCUUCCAGGGGAGGCACCUCCUGGGGGCUGGGCCCCAGUACACAUGGCCCCGGCUGGUCCUCCUCGAUGGCAGGUAGCGUGGCAUACAUGGCCAGGUAGGAGGAGCGGGGGGCUCGGGGCAGCCGGUGAGUGCGGAGGAUCUCGGGGGGCUCCAUGCUCCGUAGCGUAUCCAGGAAAAUCUCCAGGUCAGCAGCCAGGGCCACCUCAUCCUCCUCUCUCAGUGGUUCUGGGGGUGUUUUGCCUUUGGCGGAGUCAGGGACAAGCUGGGACUCCAUGCUGGCCUCUGUUUCCUUUGCUACUGGGACAGGAGUGCCUUCUGAGCUGGGGGGCACCUUGUCCAUUGGGGAGGAUGGGGCAAGGGGGACAGCAGGGCUCUGGAUGGCCUCUCUUUGGGUGGGAGAUGAGGUGGGGCUCCUCUUGGAACCCUGGACAGCCUUACCCUGUUCGGGGAGCAGGGCAGCAGGAACAGUUGGGCCCUGAAUGGCCUUGUCUCGGGUGAGGGAAGGGGAAGGGCUGCCUUCAGCACUCUGAACAACUCCCUCGUGGGUGCUCGAGGCUCCUUCUGGGCCCUGGACAACUUUGGUUGGCUUGGGGGAGGAGGAAGGAGCACCAGGGCCCCCAACUGCCUCUUUCUGGGUUGGGGAUGGGGCAGCAGGAACACCUGGGCCCUGAACUGCCUCUUUUGGGGGAAGGGAGACGGGCACAUUUUCAGAGUCCUGAGCAAACUUAUUCCUUGGCGACGAUGGAGCAGAAGGACCUUCCGGGCUGGGGACAGCCUUCCUGCUUUCAGAGGACGGAGCCAGAGGUUGUUCCAGCAGGACGGGGGCAGCAGGGCACUCAGCAAGCCCUUCCCUCUUAACAGCAGGGGGUGGUGUGUACUUCCUGGAAAAGACGGGCCCAUGGCUCUGGAAGUUCCCGGAGCCAGCCUCACCCCGAGGGCCCUGGGAGUUCACAGUCUCUUCUUCCCGUGUAGCAAAGCCGUUGAGGUCCCCUCUGUAGUGAUUGUGCUCGAACCUCUCCUGGGGGGCUUCCAUCCGGGGCCCUGACACCAGCGACACCUUGUGAAAACGGUGUCUGGUCUCUUCCUGGGCGGGAGGCCGCUGCCGCCAUGUCAGUGUGGCACUUACGACUCGGGCCUCCGCCCGGGCUGGGGGCCCAGCUGCCUCCUCCAUGUUGGGCCCCAGCAACCUGUCCAGAGGUGUCCUUGUGUCACUGUGGUCCAGCUCCCUGCAGAUGGUGCCAGGAAGAAGAAGAGAGAUGAGCGUCAGAGAGGGCAUCACGGUCCCCAACACAGAACAAGAGUUCGAAGACUGUGUGCUUCAGGGCCUUGUCAGGAUAUGAGCAGGAGAGAGAGAUGAAGACGUGCCUUGUAAACUAAAGCUUGACUCGUGAACUUCCCGGCGUCACUUUGGAGAUUUGUGACCAGACCUUAGCGGGGGUGCAAUACAUGAGUGCGCCAGCAGGAGCACGCACGACCGUGGUCAGACCUGGGGGCAGGUUUGUGUGCGUCUUGGGUCCUGAUGGCCCCCUGGGACACUGCGCUUUAUGAAGUACUUCCCCCUCAGCUCUCUCCUGUGAAGUUAAUCCCCCCGGGGUCAGAGAAGAGGAGGACUGGUCCAGGGGUGCAGCAGGAAGUCGCCAGGCUUGGGUCUGAGUCGCAUCUUCAGACUCCAAGCCCCGCAACCCUCUUCCACGUUCUAGGCCCAUUACUCCCAAGAGCCUCUUCCUGAAGGGAUGGACCUGGGCCUUACUUUUUUUAUGACCCUGAUCUCUGUGGGUCUCCAUAACCUCCCAGAGAACUCUGAUGAAUUUCUCUGCUUUAACAGUAACAGCAGCAGCCUCCUGUUAAGGGCUUCCUUUCUGUUUUCAUUAGUUGUCCUAUUGAACCCUCAGAAGAAUCCCAUGAAUCUGAGACCCCAUAAUGAAUACGUUGUUGCUAAAUUAUAAGCAAACAUUCCCAUUUUGCAGAUGAGAUGGUAAAAGGCUCAGAGAGGUUAAGGAACUUGUCUAGAGUCACACAAUAGCAGAGUCAAGACUCAGACCCUGGGCUGGGGUUGUAGCUCAGUGACUGAGCACUUGCCUAGCA